ACGUUCAUGCACCCAAAGGUAUGGGCUAAAAUUGUCGAAUUACCAAAUUCUCUUUUUGAUCGGUUCUGUCUCAGGCUCUCGCAAUGUGUCAGUGUUUCAUGUGAAAUUUAAGAAGACAAAAAUUGUUUCUGAUUCUUUAAAGGUCCCUGCAGUGAGGUAAACUCUGUAAUUCUAAAUUCAUAUUUCAUGUUAAACUUGAUAUUGACAUUUUCUAAAUUCAUGGGGGCAGCUACAGGGAAGGGUCAAUGAUAUGUUUUGAGCGAUAACACAUUGAAGGAUAGCUUGGGAAAAGACGAGACUUUCUUUAACACACAAUUCAUGGCCGCAGCUACAGGGAAGGGUCAAUGAUCAAAUGGUAAGUAUUGUUUCUGCAUUUGCUUCAAGUUCCUUAUAGGUGGGUUUUUGGAAUGCAUAAAGUUAGGUGAUCUUUUGCUUUGGACAAGACUUUAGAGCAUGGUUAUAGGUGAUACUCAUAUAGUAUCAUUAUUUAUAAUAUGUGGCUAAACAUUAGUUAGAUAUCGGAUUGCAAUUUUUGUUAGCUAGUUCUCAUAUAUCCAACGAUUUCAAGUUAUAUGCGAC
rnacentral:lncRNA from 1 species